UACGUAGGCAGCAAGCGUUGUUCGGAAUUACUGGGCGUAAAGGGCGCGUAGGCGGUCUGUUAAGUUCGGUGUGAAAGCCCCCGGCUCACCUGGGGAACUGCGCCGGAAACCGACAGACUCGAGUACCGGAGAGGAGGGUGGAAUUCCUGGUGUAGCGGUGAAAUGCGUAGAUAUCAGGAGGAACACCGGUGGCGAAGGCAGCCCUCUGGACGGAUACUGACGCUGAGGCGCGAAAGCGUGGGGAUCAAACAGG
rnacentral:rRNA from 1 species